AUGAACGCUAGCUACAGGCUUAACACAUGCAAGUCGAGGGGCAGCAUGGUCUUAGCUUGCUAAGGCCGAUGGCGACCGGCGCACGGGUGAGUAACACGUAUCCAACCUGCCGUCUACUCUUGGACAGCCUUCUGAAAGGAAGAUUAAUACAAGAUGGCAUCAUGAGUCCGCAUGUUCACAUGAUUAAAGGUAUUCCGGUAGACGAUGGGGAUGCGUUCCAUUAGAUAGUAGGCGGGGUAACGGCCCACCUAGUCUUCGAUGGAUAGGGGUUCUGAGAGGAAGGUCCCCCACAUUGGAACUGAGACACGGUCCAAACUCCUACGGGAGGCAGCAGUGAGGAAUAUUGGUCAAUGGGCGAGAGCCUGAACCAGCCAAGUAGCGUGAAGGAUGACUGCCCUAUGGGUUGUAAACUUCUUUUAUAAAGGAAUACAGUCGGGUAUGGAUACCCGUUUGCAUGUACUUUAUGAAUAAUGAUCGGCUAACGCCGUGCCAGCAGCCGCGGUAAUACGGAGGAUCCGAGCGUUAUCCGGAUUUAUUGGGUUUAAAGGGAGCGUAGAUGGAUGUUUAAGUCAGUUGUGAAAGUUUGCGGCUCAACCGUAAAAUUGCAGUUGAUACUGGAUAUCUUGAGUGCAGUUGAGGCAGGCGGAAUUCGUGGUGUAGCGGUGAAAUGCUUAGAUAUCACGAAGAACUCCGAUUGCGAAGGCAGCCUGCUAAGCUGCAACUGACAUUGAGGCUCGAAAGUGUGGGUAUCAAACAGGAUUAGAUACCCUGGUAGUCCACACGGUAAACGAUGAAUACUCGCUGUUUGCGAUAUACAGCAAGCGGCCAAGCGAAAGCGUUAAGUAUUCCACCUGGGGAGUACGCCGGCAACGGUGAAACUCAAAGGAAUUGACGGGGGCCCGCACAAGCAGUGGAGUAUGUGGUUUAAUUCGAAGCAACGCGAAGAACCUUACCAAGUCUUGACAUCCUUCUGACCGGUACUUAACCGUACCUUCUCUUCGGAGCAGGAGUGACAGGUGGUGCAUGGUUGUCGUCAGCUCGUGUCGUGAGAUGUUGGGUUAAGUCCCGCAACGAGCGCAACCCCUAUUGUUAGUUGCUACGCAAGAGCACUCUAGCGAGACUGCCGUUGACAAAACGGAGGAAGGUGGGGAUGACGUCAAAUCAGCACGGCCCUUACGUCCGGGGCUACACACGUGUUACAAUGGGGGGUACAGAGGGCCGCUACCACGCGAGUGGAUGCCAAUCCCAAAAACCUCUCUCAGUUCGGACUGGAGUCUGCAACCCGACUCCACGAAGCUGGAUUCGCUAGUAAUCGCGCAUCAGCCACGGCGCGGUGAAUACGUUCCCGGGCCUUGUACACACCGCCCGUCAAGCCAUGGGAGCCGGGGGUACCUGAAGUGCGUAACCGCGAGGAGCGCCCUAGGGUAAAACUGGUGACUGGGGCU
rnacentral:rRNA from 1 species